rnacentral:rRNA from 1 species
AGGAUGAACGCUGGCGGCGUGCCUAACACAUGCAAGUCGAGCGGUAAGGCCUCUUCGGAGGUACACGAGCGGCGGACGGCUGAGUAACGCGUAGGAACCUACCCCAAACUGAGGGAUAAGCACCAGAAAUGGUGUCUAAUACCGCAUGUGCUCUUCGGAGUAAAGCUUCGGCGGUUUGGGAAGGGCCUGCGUCCGAUUAGCUUGUUGGUAAGGUAAAAGCUUACCAAGGCGACGAUCGGUAGCUGGUCUGAGAGGAUGAUCAGCCAGACUGGGACUGAGAACGGCCCAGACUCCUACGGGAGGCAGCAGUGGGAAUUUUCCACAAUGGGCGAAAGCCUGAUGGAGCAACGCCGCGUGCAGGAUGAAUGCCUUAGGGUUGUAAACUGCUUUUAUAUGUGACGAUUAUGACGGUAGCAUAUGAAUAAGGAUCGGCUAACUCCGUGCCAGCAGCCGC